rfam:Gossypium hirsutum cultivar TM-1 chromosome 10, whole genome shotgun sequence
AAUCCAUGGUGUAGGCAUUUUUGUAUCAACAUUUUAAAGUGCUCUCAUGCUUCAUGGAAACUUUCUCCUUCUAGUUAUUUAAGCAUUGAAAUUUCUCUUCUUAGCUU